ensembl:lncRNA
AUGUCCUCGCCGGGCAGGAGGAAUGCACUCGGGCAGGAAACCGACAGGCCCACUGACGUCACCGGGGGUCCCGUCUCCGCCUCCCAGCCACGGGGUGUCCUCUCCCGGCGGCGGGGGGGUUCCCGACGGCCGCCGCCGCCGCCGCGCCGCGCCUCUCGCUCCCUCCUCCUCGCGUCGUUGCUAGUCCGCCAAUGGAAGGGAGGGCGCCCAGCCGUGUCGCCCGUCGCGAGCCCCCCCUCGUCCACCCGCCGGCCCCCACCUACCCUCUCCUCGGCGCAUAGCUGCGGACUGACGGUUUUCCCGGAGGUUCCUUGUUGUCAGGUCACGUUGUGCCCCUCCGCCACUUGCGACCGGGCUUUCCCGUGCACCGCACCCGCAGCAGGGACACACAACUGCGGGGUGCUCCCGCGCCAGCAGCCGCGGCCCCCAUUGGAUGUAAAUAUAAUAAAGAUGGACGAACCGUGGCCCCUAACCCCUCGCUUAGGGGCCACGGUUCAAUGGCAGCCCUACUCCCAGAGCAGGGUUACUUUUUAUGGGAUUUCUCGAAUGACCAUGUGGGCGAACUGUAAAUCGCUUCACCGAGUAAAAAAAUUACGAAUUGUUAGGACCACAUCAAAAUGAAAUUUAACACCCUUUUCCCGUUAAAACCGGUCAAAGCAUGAAAUAUCAGCAGGGGUGUGUGAUGUGGGCUUGUUUAGCGGACGAAUGAAUUCAUAGCACAUUUGAAUCAGUGCUUCCAUGCGGUUUUAUCAAUAAUCAUUUGUAAUAUCAUUUACAAUAGCAUAACAUAAUUUGCAAUAGCAUUGAAAAACGUAUGAGUCAUAGGUAAGGACACAUGCUGCAUCCAUAUGGAACCAUUAUGAAAUAGGAAGUCGUGGACAUGCUUCCGAUAAAGCAGUUAAGUUUGGAGAACGCCGCCACUAUACGCAAAGGCAACAUGGAUGCCACAGAGAUCGAGAAAUUAGCAAGCUAGCAGGCGUAAUGUCGGAAAUACAAAAGCACAAUAUUAAACGGCAAAUAGCCGGCUGUUGGAAAUAUCGAUAUUUUACAAUAUAUCAACCUGUGAAAAUGGAAGAGUUUCUGGUAGGCUUACAAUCCAAGUGCUUAAUAUAAAGUUAUGUUCGUGUUAUUCUUGAGGGAAAUCUACCAGUCCAGGCAGUAGAGCCUAACACAAAGGAACAGUAAAACGAAACUGAAGCCUACAUUAAUUUUCCAACCAACUGAAGACUUCUUGUAGAAUCAUGUUUCAUGGCCACACAAAUUGGUGUCCAACUAGUGUUCACGCUGUCUCUAAGUAGUAUAAUAAAAUCGAAUACAUUAAUUUCAAACCACCUGAAACAUUGUUAGGUUUUCUGACUUUGCUUUUGAAAUGAUUGUUUUCCUAGCUCCCUCUCUGCUCGAUUUCUUUCACCUUUCCUGUCGUUCUCUUCUCUUUUGGUAGCCAGAUUUUACUUUUUAAGGGCAUGAAUGCUUAUAUGCAUGAUACAAAUAAACUUGCAGAAUUGCAGAACCUUUAACUCCAGGCUCUGAACGCCGGGGCUCCCCUCACCACUACAGCCCUGUUCAUGCCUAUAAGCUGACAUAAAUGUCAAACUGUAUAUUCAAAAACAUAGUUUCGAGUGAACUGGCUUAGUUCACGUUUCAAAAUGACCUUUGUGAGUUCAUUCUCACUUAUUUUUUUCCACUUGUGUUUCCCCAGCUUUUACUCAUAGUUUCCACAGUAGCUCAAAAGGCCAUUUAGCCUUAAAGCUAAUGACAAGAAACCUCUGAGUGGAAAGUUUUUGCUUCUUCUUGCUCAGUGUCUCUCUCUCUCUUUUUUCUUUUUUUCUUUUUUAAUAAACAUGUGACAAUGCUUUAUGAAACAAGGUCGCCCCACACAGAGGCGUGCUCUCACAGCCCAAACCAGUUCAAACAGCUCUGCAAAACAGCAUUAAGUGCACGGAAACAAUUUGAUUAUUAUUCAGUUACGUGCAAUCGUGCUGUUUAUUAAUUCAUUUUGCGAGUUCCUUGGACUCAUUGGCUGCAGAGGAAACUAUAGCUGUUGCUCAAACUAUGGCCACAGGUACCAAUGCACUAGCAGAGCGAAAUGCAAAAUGUCGGAUUUAAUCUCAAGUGUAGGAAGAGAUGACCCAGAUUUCAAAGCUAUGACCUGCAGCCUGAACAGUUUCUGAUUUUUUUCCCCCGUCAAGUUUGUAGAAACUUUACUGCAGUGAGGCAAAUCCACACAUUAAUAAGUGAUUGUGUGACAGCCGCCCACCAUCAUAUCACAGCGCUUCCUGCAGACUGCAGAGUGCGACUCCUGGCACAGUCGAGCUUUAUGACUCACCUGUUUCAAAUGCAACAGCUUUGAAUGGCACAUUUGAAUAGCGGAACGUUUUUUUGUUUGUUUGUUGCUGUUGUUGUUGCUCAAACGGGAACGAGGUGUUGUCUUUUCACAGCCACAGAUCUGGAGCAUGAAUGCGGCGUUUCUGUCCGCGCAGGGCUUUCAGUCUUGUAUGAAUGGAGGAGGGGUGUCAGUGACGUGACGCAUGUGAAGGGGAGUCAGUUCCUCUCUCACACACAUGCGACAAGGAUUCUCUUUGACGAUCAUUUAAAGUGGUCAACUGUUGUCACAGAGGCUUCGCACUUUUCUCCGUGACACGGUGCCUUUUUUUUUCUUUUCUGCAUUCACUGCUGUCUGUACACCGGCGUAAAAAAAAAGAGAUGUUGUUUUCGCAUUGCGAGAUGAAAAAGGCAAGGAGGGGAAUUGUGUGUGUGUGUGUGUGUGUGUGUGUGUGUGUGUGUGUGUCUGUGUGUGUGGUGUGUGUGUGCGCGCGCAAACCUUUUUACAUAACCACAUUUUUUCCUGAGACGACAGCUUGUUUGGUUUGAGCUACUGCAAUGCCAAGAGCGGAACAAUCGUUUAUUAAUUGAGCCUUCAGCUGCCACCCUGUUAGUCAAAGUCCACGCGAGCGCGGGUUUUUUUCCUGUGGUUGGAGUUGGACCGGGGCCCUCUGUGUCUUUGAGCUUCAGCAGAAAAUGUGGUUUUUGCUUUUCCAGAAGUGUUUGUAGAUGGAGAGUAACGAAGCCUCUCUUUGCCCCCCUGCUGGUCCUCUCUCCUAACAAGUCACCUCUUGCUUGAACCGCGUGCAGCCCUCCACUUCAUUUUCCACUGCAGCGUCCAUGAUAUCGAGCAAAAAGUAAAUGAUCAGAACGCCCUAGUACAUCGGAGGUGUUCUCUCAAAACUGGCUGUCACAUAACUUUGUGCUUCUUCGCUGACCUUUUCACGAAGUUGCCGUCGCUACACCCGAUGUUCCAGUCCUGGACAAAGACCAACACAUGAGUGGCUGUGGCUCAGGAGGUUUGGGCGCUUCACUGCUCACAAGGUCGCGGUUUGAUCGCGACCUUCGAGGGUCCUUGGGCAAAGCACUACAUGUGUGACUUUGUGUGUGAAACACUACAUUUAUAGCUCGAGGUUAUGUGUAUGACUGUGUGUGUGUGUGUGUGUGUGUGUGUGUGUGUGUGUAUGACUGUGUGUGUGUGUGUGUGUGUGUGUGUCCGUGUGGGUGUGUGUGUGUGUGUGUGCGUGUGUGUGUGCGCGUGUGUGUGUGUGUGUGUGUGUGUGUGUGUGUGUGUGUGUGUGUGUGUGUGUGUGCGCGUGUGUGUGUGUGUGUGUGCGGGUGUGUGAAGGGGUGAAUUUGACCUGCGGUGUGAAGCACUGUGAGCGGUCGAAAAGGACAACGAAGCUAUGUUAAGCUAAAGCCAUAUAAAUGCAGUCCAUUCAUCAUUUGCUGCCUGUCAUCCCCUCUCUCUCUCUCUCUCUUGUGUCACCUGCCUUUCCUGCCGCUCUCGACCGUCUCUACGAACUAAAACAGAAUUUGCCCAUCAAACUCCAACAUGCGGAGAAAUCCAGAGCUGCGCGGCCAGUUCACUCCAGUCACUCUGGUCAAAGCGACAGUAACAGGAGCUCGUUUGUGAUCUCAAAGGAAGAUUCACAGCCGGGUACCUGAGUCCCUUUUGACCGACCAAUGCAUGGUUUUC